AUUGAACGCUGGCGGAAUGCUUUACACAUGCAAGUCGAGCGGCAGCACGGGGGCAACCCUGGUGGCGAGCGGCGAACGGGUGAGUAAUACAUCGGAACAUGCCCAGUCGUGGGGGAUAACACUUCGAAAGAAGUGCUAAUACCGCAUACGUCCUGAGGGAGAAAGCGGGGGAUCUUCGGACCUCGCGCGAUUGGAGUGGCCGAUGUCAGAUUAGCUAGUUGGUGGGGUAAGGGCCUACCAAGGCAACGAUCUGUAGCUGGUCUGAGAGGAUGAUCAGCCACACUGGGACUGAGACACGGCCCAGACUCCUACGGGAGGCAGCAGUGGGGAAUUUUGGACAAUGGGGGCAACCCUGAUCCAGCCAUUCCGCGUGAGUGAAGAAGGCCUUCGGGUUGUAAAGCCCUUUCGGCAGGAACGAAACGGCGAGCUCUAACAUAGCUUGCUAAUGACGGUACCUGAAGAAGAAGCACCGGCUAACUACGUGCCAGCAGCCGCCGCAGUAA
rnacentral:rRNA from 1 species